rnacentral:rRNA from 1 species
AAUGAACGCUGGCGGCAUGCCUUACACAUGCAAGUCGAACGGCAGCACGGGGCAACCUGGUGGCGAGUGGCGAACGGGUGAGUAAUGCAUCGGAACGUACCUUUCAGUGGGGGAUAACGUAGCGAAAGUUACGCUAAUACCGCAUAUUCUGUGAGCAGGAAAGCAGGGGAUCGCAAGACCUUGCGCUGAUUGAGCGGCCGAUGUCAGAUUAGCUAGUUGGUGAGGUAAAGGCUCACCAAGGCGACGAUCUGUAGCGGGUCUGAGAGGAUGAUCCGCCACACUGGAACUGAGACACGGUCCAGACUCCUACGGGAGGCGGCAGUGGGGAAUUUUGGACAAUGGGGGCAACCCUGAUCCAGCCAUGCCGCGUGAGUGAAGAAGGCCUCCGGGUUGUAAAGCUCUUUCGGCCGGGAAGAAAUCGCACGGGCUAAUACCCUGUGUGGAUGACGGUACCGGAAUAAGAAGCACCGGCUAACUACGUGCCAGCCGCCGCAGUAACAC